UCCUAAGGCCAGCUCAGCGAGGACGGAAACCUCGCGUAGAGCAAAAGGGCAAAUGCUGGCUUGAUCCCGGACGCUCAGUACGCGUAGGGACUGCGAAAGCAUCGGCCUCUC